rnacentral:rRNA from 1 species
AUUGAACGCUGGCGGCAGGCCUAACACAUGCAAGUCGGACGAGUGGCGGACGGGUGAGUAAUGCCUGGGAAACUGCCUGAUGGAGGGGGAUAACUACUGGAAACGGCAGCUAAUACCGCAUACCAUCGGAUGUGCCCAGAUGGGAUUAGCUAGUUGGUGGGGUAACGGCUCACCAAGGCGACGAUCCCUAGCUGGUCUGAGAGGAUGACCAGCAACACUGGAACUGAGACACGGUCCAGACUCCUACGGGAGGCAGCAGUGGGGAAUAUUGGACAAUGGGCGCAAGCCUGAUGCAGCCAUGCCGCGUGUCUGAGGAAGGCCUUCGGGUUGUAAAGGACUUUCAGCGGGGAGGCGUUAACCGCAGAAGAAGCACCGGCUAACGCCGUGCCAGCAGCCGCGGUAAUUC